rnacentral:tRNA from 2 species
GGGGCCGUAGCCCAAUUGGCAGAGGCAUACGGUUUAGGUCCGUACCAGUGAGGGUUCGAGUCCCUCCGGCCCCA